CCCUUUUAUUUUCUUAUUGGAAAAUGAACGAGUCUAAAGCUUUUUCACAUAUUAUAUGAGGAAAACUUGGAUUUUUCUAAAUUAGAUUCGUUUAAAUCGGAACAUAUUAAGAUGAGUUUCUUAAAUUAGAUUUUUGUUAUGUAUAUAUGUAAGAAUACUUUGUAUGUUGUAACAAAUAGAAUAAUUCAUCUCUUUCCUAAUUUUUUAACUCACUAUCAAUCCAUUUCUAUAAUCCAAGAUGAGGAAAUCCGUUCAACUCUUGUCUACGUUCUUAAUCGUCUUCAUUAUUCUCUCACUAAGAACGAUGGCAGAUGCGAAAAAACAGUGUCCAUAUAAAAUUCCAAUUAGUAAAAAGUUAUCAUAUUGUGCUGCAACACUAUGUUUGGCUGAUUGUAAGAAGCAACAUGGAGCUGAUGCUAGUGGUAGUUGUUCCGAAGAAAAGGGAUUUUGUAACUGCGUUGCUAACUGUAAGGGUUCUCGCUAAGUGUUGUGAAUAUAAUAAUAUCCAACCAAAGUUUUAUACUAUAUUUUUACUAAUAAAUAUCUAAAUGUUAAAAUGUUUGUCUCAUAUUUGUGGAUCUAUUUAUAAUAAAUAAUAAUAAGAUAAUUAAAUAAAUACAAAUGUGAUUAACAAGAUUGUACUUUAAAUAAAAUAAAUGAUCACAAUAUUAUUAGAUGUAUCCAAAAAUGUGUAUAUGAUCAAAAACGUUUAAGAGGAGUUUUAAAAGACAGCGAUGAAAUCACAACCAAUAUUUAAAUGUGAUAUCAUCACCUAACAUGUAAAUUUUGUGUACAUUGCAAAA